GACAGAGGGGGCAAGCGUUGCUCGGAAUUAUUGGGCGUAAAGCGCGUGUAGGCGGCUUGGCAAGUCGGGUGUGAAAGCCCUCAGCUCAACUGAGGAAGUGCGCCCGAAACUGCUGAGCUCGAGUGCCGGAGAGGGUGGCGGAAUUCCCCAAGUAGAGGUGAAAUUCGUAGAGAUGGGGAGGAACACCGGUGGCGAAGGCGGCCACCUGGACGGUCACUGACGCUGAGACGCGAAAGCGUGGGGAGCAAACAGG
rnacentral:rRNA from 1 species